AAAAAAUUGAUUUUAGUUCCUAUUUGAAUGGAUUAGUUUUGAUUCAAUUGCAGAUGAGAGAAAAUUGUCCAAUUUAAGUAAGUUUUGAUACAAUUUUAAUUUUUAAUUAAAUCGAUAUCUCUUCGAGUCUGAAUUAGACUGAAUUCAGCCUACAUUAAUAAAUCCUAAUUAUCCGUUCAAAGCAUUACUAAUUGGCAAAUUUGAUAUUAAGAUCUACUACUAAGUUAAUAAUAAAAUAUAAAAAAAUUAAUAUUCAUAGUG
rnacentral:misc_RNA from 1 species